UUUGCCCCCCUCCCCCUAAUACCUGAAUGUUCUGUAGAACUGAAAUCCUUACCAGCUGCCCCACCAGCCAGGUGGCUGACAGGCGAGGCCCGGCCAGAGGUAGAGUAGUUUUUAACUUUAAAAAAGUUUUUUCCUUUAAACCUGAGUUCGGGCGUGGCCCCCACGCCAUCGGACAACCCCCAGAGAAGCUGAAAUUUCACAUGUCAGGAAUGAAAAGCUGAAUUCAUUCGUGUUUGCCAAGAAAAAAACGCACAAGCAAGCAAGAGAAAAACGAUAGAAGUGGGCAAAAGUCAUAAAAGCAAAAAAAGUGACUGUACAAAUGCACAACUAUUAAAAACUAACUCUGCUGCCCGACGCCUCUGCCUACCCCUUGCCCGACAGCUACACAGCCCUGAGGCCAGGU